rnacentral:misc_RNA from 1 species
GUGAAUCAUCGAAUCUUUGAACGCAAAUUGCACUCGCUACGGAGAGUAUGCCUGUUCGAGGGUCAGCCUAAAUAAAAUCGACAUAGUCGCUGUUUCGCGGUGACAUUCGUCGGACAUCGGGUCAUAUUAAACCUUUGGGUUUUAAGCGGCUUACAUUGUUCUUUACGAUUCUACGACCGUUUCUAAGAUUUACUUAGGCGCUCAAGGAAUCGAU